rnacentral:rRNA from 1 species
CUACGGAGGGUGCAAGCGUUAUUCGGAAUCACUGGGCGUAAAGGACGCGUAGGCGGGUUGGCAAGUCAGAUGUGAAAUCCUACAGCUUAACUGUAGAACUGCAUUUGAAACUGCUAACCUAGAGUAUGGGAGGGGGAGAUGGAAUUAGUGGUGUAGGGGUAAAAUCCGUAGAUAUCACUAGGAAUACCGAAAGCGAAGGCGAUCUCCUGGAACAUAACUGACGCUAAGGCGUGAAAGCGUGGGGAGCAAACAGGAUUAGAAACCCCAGAGUCC